CCGGGUCAACCGGCAGGCACCCGGUCCAUUCAGGACGGCCUCCGUCUCAAGCACUGC
rnacentral:ncRNA from 1 species